AUUGAACGCUGGCGGCAGGCCUAACACAUGCAAGUCGAGCGAGAGGCGGACGGGGGAGUAAUGUAUGGGGAAUGCCUGAACGAGGGGGAUAACGACUGGAAACGGUGGCUAAAAACGCAUAAUACCCGAUAACCCAUAUGGGUUUAGCUAGUCGGUGGGGGAAAGGCUCACCUAGGCGAAGCUCUUGAGCUAGGCUGAGAGGAUGAUCAGCAACACUUGGACUGAGACACUGCCCAGAUUCCUACGGAGGCAGCAGUGGGGAAUAUUGCCCAAUUGGCGCAAGCCUGAUUCAGCCAUGCCGCGUGUAUGAAGAAGGUCUUAGGGUUGUAAAGUUCUGUCAGCUGGGAGGCGUUACCCGCAGAAGAAGCACCGGCUAACUCCGGGCCAGCAGCCGCGGUAAUAC
rnacentral:rRNA from 1 species